CCAGGGAUACCCCAUCCCAGGUGCAGAAUCCAACACUUCCCCUUGUUGAACUUCCUAUGGUUGGUGAUUGCCCAGUCCUCUCAUUUGUGGAGGUCUCUCUGAAGGGCCUCUCUGCCUUCAGGGGAAGAGCACACUUCUGAA